GGGCCGUUAGCUCAGUUGGCAGAGCAUCUGACUUUUAAUCAGAGGGUCGCUGGUUCGAUUCCAGCACGGCCCACCA
rnacentral:tRNA from 1 species